rnacentral:rRNA from 1 species
UACGGAGGGUGCAAGCGUUGUCCGGAAUCAUUGGGCGUAAAGCGCACGUAGGCGGCUCUUUAAGUCUCUUGGUGAAAGGCUGGGGCUCAACCCCAUGCAUGCCGGGGAUACUGGGGAGCUGGAGACAGGUAGAGGCCAGCGGAAUUCCGGGUGUAGCGGUGGAAUGCGCAGAGAUCCGGAAGAACACCGGAGGCGAAGGCGGCUGGCUGGACCUGAUCUGACGCUGAGGUGCGAAAGCGUGGGGAGCGAACAGG